UGUCACAGGGUGACGACUUGUCAGGGCGGAACCAAAAAUUGAGGAAGUUGGUUCCGCCCGGAUGUUUCCGCCCCGACCGGAAAAAUGGAAACACCGGACAUCCGGCAGCGUUGCGAAGGCUGUAAUCAGCGGAUUGAGCACAGCUGUGGCUAGUUAACGAGAUCGCCGGGUAAUUGGAUAAUGGGAGCGUAAGGAGAAGUACAAAAAGCACAGUUAGAUGACAGUUGGGGUUCGAAGUGUGUGCUGAGGAACGGAGCUGUGCUCAUUGCUAGACGUGGUGGCUGGAUAUAUUUCUCUCUCUUUCCCUCUUCUCUCGUUGCAGUUACGGUGGACCGGCUGGAUUUAAGGAACAACCCUAUGGGUGAAAAAGGAACUACAGUCCAACUAGUAAUUUGAACGGAGAAAAACGAGAAGCGAUUUGAUCGCACUGCACAACGUACACAAAGGCUAUCCGCUGUGAGUAUGCCCAUGGUGUAGUGUAACUAGCGGAAACUUGCAUGUUGUGAUUCGUUGGAGUCCUCCAGGAGUAGGAAGGCGGCCCUACCCCUAUCAGUAGCGUGGUGGGCGAGCCGCCAGCAGCAUAUAUAUUUCAUACAGCCACCGCAACGCGACUCUGGUCUGGUCGUUUCUGCCACCGCCUCUACGUUAGCCCCAAGCACAGUGGAAGAGACCGGGCGUUUCCCCUCGUGGUGUUGCACUUGCAGUGUGGUGAGUGAGAUUUUACAUAUUAUAAGCUUUUUCACGAUAGAGUGGUGCUGUGUAUUUGCCGUGGGUUGCCGUGUGUCUUGUCAGAGGAACCCCGCACCAUCCAUUCUCUCCCUUGGAAGGAGGACGCCGGGGGCCAACGACCGUAGACCUCAUUGCCAUCAUACGCGGUGUGCUGUUCAAGAGAGUGAAGAGACGCAGGCCAAGUACUGUGGAGGACUGUGAGUAUUAUAGUGAAAGCAAUUGUGGUGUAAACUUACCUGUGUGUGUGUCAUCGCAGAGUCGGAGGCGAACGGGUCCGCUGCCCCCGGGUCCCUACGAAAGGGCGCCCUUAUCUGGGAUUUGAUCAGCCUACGGACAGUGGCGAUAAGGCAGCGCUCGACCCGGCGAGGUGGUGUGUGACCUUCGCCCCCCCUGCUGACCUACAGAAGGAACGACCGUGAGUAACAUAGUAAAAGCAAUUGUGGUAUAAGCUUACCUGUGUUUGUAUCAUCGCAGAGUCGGAGGCGAACGGGUCCGCUACCCCCGUGGUCUCUACGAAAGGGCGCCCCUAUCCGGAAUUCGAUCGGCCCACGGACCGUGGGGAUAGGGCGGCGCUCGACCCGGCGAGGUGGUGUGUGGCCUUCGCCCCCCUGCUGACCAACAGUAAAGAGCCGACUGUGAACGUGAUACUUACCCCGAGAGCUGUAAGCAGCGGAGCUGGUGAGAACCAUUCAAAGGCCAAUAACAGUGUUUCUGUGUCCUAGCGAUCACCUGUGGAGAGAGAAAGGAAAACGAGAGAGAGUCAGUAAAGAGCCGACGGUGAACGUGAUACGUACCCAGAGAGCUGUAAGCAGCGGAGCUGGUGAGAACCAUUCAAAGGCCAAUAACAGUGUUUCUGUGUCCUAGCGAUCACCUGUGGAGAGAGAGAAGAAGACAAGAUGGCCGCCUGUGGAAAGAGAAGAAGGCGAGAGUAAGCCAUUGGGCACGAACAGUGGAGAAACCCCUAACAGCCACACCAGAAGUUGUCUGCCUCCAGGAAGAGAAGAAGGAGGGCGCCACGGCCAGCAGGGUCCAGGCGGGAGCCUGACGUUUCCUUUUUCCCCCGUUGAUGGUGGUUGGCACCCCCGUUUUCCCAUCCCUGUCACCCGUGGCUGUAGUCUCCCUGGAGGGAGUAGAAGAAGCCAUUAGUUUUAAAAUUCCCCUUUCCCCGAAAUUUCCCCCCCAUCCUUUUAAGUAUUUAAGAUUUCAAUAAAGCUUGUUUUAAAUUUUA